UUAGAAAAAGAAAAGUAAAAGAAUGUGUUUUGCCUUUGCUUGUUAAUAAUUAAGAGUUGAAAUAAGGGUAAGAAUUUACAAUAAAAUUAGAAUUAGUGAGACAUCUAGUGGCGAAGAUAGAAAGGGCCAAAGUGAAAUUGUUUGAAAAAUAUGUAUAUAUGUACCACAUUUUUUAUAGUUUUAUAAAUAUAUAUAAUUUAGUUUAUUGUGUAUAACACGAAUAUGUUACGUAAUCCAACGACAAAUGUAUUGAUGAUUGAUGUUAAUAUUAAUAUAGAAACCAGAAAUAAAACAACGAAGACAUAUCGAAGUAGAUUGGAAAAUAAAAAAAUAGAAUAGAUUACCGACAGGUCGUGCAACCAAGAUAGCGCCACCAAUCCCCUCAUAUCCUGUAAUAACACGCAAAUAAUUUACUUUCUACGUUUUGCGACAUUUCUCUACGAUGGAUUGUUGAAGUCGCGAAAUUCGAGUGGAUUUAUUUGGAAGAGAAAAUUAGGUGCCAGCGUUAAUUUAGUCUCGUAAACAAUGUGGUUUUCGUUCCAAAUACGAGGAUUUCCGGUGUUUUAUCAGACUUCAUAAAGUCAAGUAUUACAAUUGUAUCGCAAUUUACAAACAAAGUUUGAAUAGAUUUCCUUCAUUUUAUGUACGUAUAUACUUCUCAUUUACGUUAAGAGUCGUUAACUCGGAAAACAUCUGUACAUGUAUCUGUAGCAAAGUUGUAUUUCUCUAUCAUUCAAAUAAUUGCGAGUGAAAAUGUAUGCACGUACAAAUAAGAGAUAAAUGUCUAAUGCUCUUAUCAUGGUGCUUGAUGGAAUGAGUUUCUUUACUCAAUGUACAUUUUCACAGGAUUAGUUUCGUUCCAACGUUAAAUUUACUUGCUUGACUCUCUCUUUUCAACCAGUUGUGCAUAUAUAUACACAAUGUUUUGCAAUGUAAAGUUUAUAUGAUUCUAAUCAUCAUAUUAUGCAUAAGAAUAAAAAUAACGAAUAAAGAUUACAAGUCAGCUAUUUCAAAUGAUAAUGCUGUUUUAAUUUUUUACAAAUUUUAUACAAAAUAUAUAAUACCAUGACAAAGAAUUGUUACUACAUUUUUCCAUCUAUAUCGUAAUCUUAGAAUAACAUUUGUUUUCUUAUUAAAAAUCAGAACGUUGAUAGUAUCUAUAUACAAGAUAAAGAACGAGCAUCAAGAAUGUUAAAUAAAAUAUUUUUUAGAUAAUGUGUCGUCCUUUUCAUUAUCGGUUAAUGGUGCAAUGAUAGUAAGUACUUCUCUGAGACUGGUACCACACCGUUGUGCGACGCAAAUGUUGAGUCAUCACGUCUGGAAAUAUCAUAAUUACAUGGUUCACGUAUAUACAUAUAUUUUCUUCUUGAGUGUAUAUGGUAUAUGUAUGGUCUACCAGAGUUGCAUCCGAGGAUUGUGAUUCGAAAUUUUAAUUAAACUAUUAAAUUAUCCUGACUCAACGGAAUGAAUUAUUUCAUUAAUAGAAAUAAUUUCAUAUAAGAUUAAGAUAUUCUUUUUAAAAUCUUAUAUCUUUUUUCAUUGU